rnacentral:rRNA from 1 species
AUACGGAGGGUGCAAGCGUUAUUCGGAAUUACUGGGCGUAAAGCGUACGCAGGCUGACCAUUAAGUUAGAGGUGAAAUCCCGGGGCUCAACCCCGGAACUGCCUUUAAAACUGCUGGUCUGGAGUUAUGGAGAGGUAAGUGGAAUUCCUAGUGUAGAGGUGAAAUUCGUAGAUAUUAGGAGGAACACCAGAGGCGAAGGCGGCUUACUGGACAUAUACUGACGCUGAGGUACGAAAGUGUGGGGAGCGAACGGGAUUAGAAACCCUAGUAGUCC